AGUAGUUUGAUCAUGGCUCAGGAUGAACGCUGGCGGUAUGCCUAAUACAUGCAAGUCGUGCGGAAAGGCCUCUUCGGAGGUACUCGAGCGGCGGACGGCAGAGUAACGCGUAGGAACAUACCCCAAACUGAGGGAUAACUGCUCGAAAGAGUAGCUAAUACCGCAUGUGGUCUUCGGACUAAAGCUUCGGCGGUUUGGGAAUGGCCUGCGUUCGAUUAGCUAGUUGGUGAGGUAAUUGCUCACCAAGGCGACGAUCGAUAGCUGGUCUGAGAGGAUGAUCAGCCUGACUGGAACUGAGACACGGUCCAGACUCCUACGGGAGGCAGCAGUAGGGAAUUUUCCACAAUGGCGAAAGCCUGAUGGAGCAAUACCGCGUGCAGGAUGAAGGCCUUCGGGUCGUAAACUGCUUUUAUGUGAGAAGAAUUUGACGGUAACACAUGAAUAAGGGUCGGCUAACUACGUG
rnacentral:rRNA from 1 species